AGCCCGAUGCGGGGCUCGAACUCACCAACUGAGAGAUCAUGACCUGAGCCGAAGUGGGACGCUCAACCGACUGAGACACCCGGGCGCCCCAAGAAUCUCGACUUAAAGGAGCAGUGGGUGACGGAAAUCCCAAGGAGGACACUGAGGAGGCCUCGGGGGCUUCCUCAAGUGAAAUGAGGGGGUCGGAUGCAUCCAUCUGUGCUCUCACACCAGCCUGUUUACCCACUCCCCCUUGAAAAAACUAAUUUCCCCCUCGUGAGGCCUUGAAGUCUGGAAGGGUGUUGUCUACAAUAAAGAGCGCGAGUGAAGAAAGCA